rfam:Salmo salar isolate Sally breed double haploid chromosome ssa01, whole genome shotgun sequence.
UGUAUUCACUACUGUAAGUCGCUCUGGAUAAGAGUGUCUGCUAAAAUGUAAUAAU